rnacentral:rRNA from 1 species
AUUGAACGCUGGCGGCAGGCCUAACACAUGCAAGUCGAACGGUAACAGAAAGCAGCUUGCUGCUUUGCUGACGAGUGGCGGACGGGUGAGUCAUGUCUGGGAAACUGCCUGAUGGAGGGGGAUAACUACUGGAAACGGUAGCUACUACCGCAUAACGUCGCAAGACCAAAGAGGGGGACCUUCGGGCCUCUUGCCAUCGGAUGUGCCCAGAUGGGAUUAGCUAGUAGGUGGGGUAACGGCUCACCUAGGCGACGAUCCCUAGCUGGUCUGAGAGGAUGACCAGCCACACUGGAACUGAGACACGGUCCAGACUCCUACGGGAGGCAGCAGUGGGGAAUAUUGCACAAUGGGCGCAAGCCUGAUGCAGCCAUGCCGCGUGUAUGAAGAAGGCCUUCGGGUUGUAAAGUACUUUCAGCGGGGAGGAAGGGAGUAAAGUUAAUACCUUUGCUCAUUGACGUUACCCGCAGAAGAAGCACCGGCUAACUCCGUG